rnacentral:rRNA from 1 species
CGGCGACCGGCGCACGGGUGCGUAACGCGUAUCAAACCUGCCUCAUACUCGGGGAUAGCCUUGCGAAAGUAAGAUUAAUACCCGAUGUUAUUAGUUCACCGCAUGGUGGGCUAAUCAAAGAUUUAUCGGUAUGAGAUGGUGAUGCGUCCGAUUAGGUAGUAGGCGGGGUAACGGCCCACCUAGCCUUCGAUCGGUAGGGGUUCUGAGAGGAAGGUCCCCCACACUGGAACUGAGACACGGUCCAGACUCC